GCACGCACGUGACGAGGAGUCGUGACAACGAUCGUGUACAGGACUCGCAGGCGAGGGUCACGACAGUCACUGCCGUCUGCGAGGGCGAAGCGCUCACUCUCCUCCGGUGCUGCUGCCGUUGCUGUGUGUGUGUGUGGAAGCCAGCAGCCAUUGUGGCUGUCGCCGGUGCUGCUGGUGGUGAUGCUGCUGCUGCUGCUGCUGUGAACUGCGAUCGAUGCGCGACCUACAGCCUGCAACGUCAGACUGGGAUUACGUGUGAGAGAACAUCUACACCCGCCACACACACACAAGGCCAAACGGUGUGUGCGUGUGUGUAUGCGUGCGUGUGCGUCGUUUGGCGGGUGGGGAUCGUCCUAACCCUCCAUCCCCGCCGCAAGUGUGACGGGUCCAGCUUCCGACGGUCACAGACUGGUCGUUGUGGGUGGUGCUGGUGGUGCAAGGCGGUCGUGAUCGUCGCGGCAGCGUCAGGCGAGAGAGAGAGUGAGAGAGAGAGGUCCCCCUGCUCAGCACGACAAGGGGAGGCCAGGCGAGGUGAGGAGCCAUCAGGGACUGCUUGUGGAGACACGUCACAGCUUAACCACUCACCAGUGGCGGCGCACGGGAGGAAAUCAAUGCUGCCUGCAGACACGACGUGGUGAGCACGUGAAAUGCGGUGAAGCACAGGCGUGAAAGGUUACAGUGACACGGCCUUGACCUGGAGACCAUGAGGCCAGAGAGGAGAUAAGAGGUCAGAGGGCGUGGUGCAGCAACAGCUGCCUGUGGCGACAAACAACCUCCAGUGCAGCAGACCUCCAGCGCAAGCUACCCUCGACAGCAGCCUUCCACAAAACCUUAUAAAUCAUUUCUUGUUAGCAGGUGGCGUUCCCAAACUACAACAACAACAACAACAACAACAACAACAACAACAACAACAACAACAACAACAGUUCUGUGAGCGCUGGGUGUGCUUCCUUCCUUCUGUAGGAAACCGGAAGUUGAAGCUAACUAGCUAGAAUCCAGCACGGAUCUCCUCUCGGAAUCUUGUUAGCAUCUUUGUGAGAAGACAUCCUGAAUUCCUUGAGAACUAUUCAUAUGAAGAACUGUUGUCAUCAAGGCCCUAGUCACGUGAUCAGAUAACUUUGGAUGUUUGCGAAGCAGCUUUUGUCUGUGUGACAAACUCGAUUAUAGUACCUGUAGCAUCAAGGAUAUACAUGUCACAAAGAUAUAGACA